UUACUUUAAUCUUUAUGCUCUGUUGCCUGUGCUUAGUCAUGCUGGCUCUGCACCUUUUGUAAAAGAAUGUUGCCUAUAGCUUCAAGUAUACAGGAUAGACUGACCUUGACCUGACCUGAACACAGAAUAACAUUUGUCUUGUUGGAGGUUUAGAGGAACAUCGUGACCUGUGAACUGACCUACCUGGACAGCUGCAAGAACAAACGAUCCCACACCAAGAAGUUUGCAACAACUAACCACGCCACUCCCUCAUCUUGCCUUUAAAAGGGCUUUGCUGGACUUCCCUGGCGGUCCAGUGAUAUGCUCAGCCACGUGCAUGCAAUGGCAGAGUUGGCAGAGAAUUAGGACUUUGCCAAGAGUGCUGGGAAAGGAUGAAGGAGCAAAGGAGUCAAGGCUGUAUGCAAGGUAACAUCAGGAUUAUUGGUGAAGUCCAGACAGGAAGAUGAGUCCUAAAAUUUCCAGUUCUUAAGGAUGAACUCUCCCAGGGUAGCAAAAUGAGAAGAGAAGGGGGUUCAAGCUUUGGACAGCUCCAAUAUUUAAUGUCAGUGGGGCAGGAAGUAGAUGGGCUCCAGGCUAGACAUUUACAACAGGCCUCCUGUUUGCAUUUCCUGAAACAGGAGAUAGGUGGGCUCCAGGAUAGAUAUUUACAACCAGCCUCCUGUUUGCACUUCGAAAUAGGAAUAACAACAGAAACAGGGUGCCUACACUUUAAGAUAACAGUCAUGGCAGGAACAGAGAGGGGCUAAACCCUGUUUGAGUAAAAGAUCAAGAGGUCCUAUAUUUCCCAUCUUUGGGGCAAAGGAGACACCGUACAUGCACAGAAAGGCUCCUUGGGGGUCAAAAAGAAGGGGUCACCACCCCAGAAUAGGUGAUGCCAAGGGCCCCCAUAGGCCUCUGGGCUGGAAUCCAUCUUGGAAAAAAGUUGUGCAUGCAAGUUGGGGAGGGUCCUAUGACAGGUCAGGUGUGGAAAAAGAAACCAGAUAAUUGGCCAAAGGUAAACAAAGACUGGGGAGAGCCACUCUGUAUAAAUGAUUUAACCGACUCUUUACUCCUCCUCAUUAGGGAGAACCCCACACCCUUUCUCUCUGGGUGUGUUAUCUCUGCCUUGCUUCUGUCUUAACUAAACAAACUGUUUCUCUGUGUGCUCUCCCACUUGUUGUGCUGUGUCUCUAAUAAUAAACUUCAUACCUGUUUUUACAGUUUUUGUCUCCCUGAGAAAUGCAUUUUUCAGUGGAGGCAAGAGCCACAGAAAAUUUACUUCUAGUCUCCAGCCCUUGCUGGUCUAGUGGCUAGGAUUCCUGGUUUUCAUCCAGGCUACCCAGGUUCAAUUCCUGGGCAGGGAACUAAGAUCUUGCUUCAAGCCACCACUCACUGCUGCUGCGUCUCCAAGAUCAUCAGGAUAAAGAAGGCAAUGGCAAGAGUGAUCACAGAGAGAUAUACAGAUACAUACGAGAACGGACGGGUGGAUGGACAGACGGACAAGACAGGCAGAGAUCUAAGAACAACGGGCUCUGUCUGUGGCAAAAAAACAAACAACAACAAAAUACAGAGCAAACAGAGGCAGAGAGAAGAGGGGAAUGUCACAUAAACUAUAAUAAACUUCCUCAUAGAUAAGCUAGAGUAUCUCUGAAAGAAGAACAGGAUGCUGUGAAACAUCAGCAAGGAGGUGCUGUAAGAUGAUCAACAGUAUAUGAGAAAUAAAACCUUAAGGCCCAUUUUAAGAUCCAGACUUUUCUUCUUAUGAGGGAAAGAAGCUACUGGUAUUUAAAAAACAACAGUUGGCAUUAUUAUCCUUAGCUCAACCAACCAAAAAUGGUAUGUAUCUUCUUUUUGUGUCUUGAAAAUGAAGGGAGUCUCUAAAGAAAGAAAUGUAUCUUUCUCUGAGAAAUUACUGUUUGUUCUGGUUAUUUAGGAAUUGUAUUGGUUUGACACUGCAAUUAAUUUACAAAGGAAUUCUUCCUAUUGAAUAGGUAACAUACUGCAAAAUCCCACAGGGAGAAAGGUGCAUCGCUUGUUUUCUCGUGUCCUGCAGCCACCCAGUUCACCUCUCAGGAGCCAGACUCUUACUGGUUUCUCCUGCAUCGUUCCAGAUAGAGGCAAUUUACUGUGAAGCCAACUAUGCUUCUGCAUCAGCGUCCUUUGCUUGCUUAGGCCCCUUCCCAGGCCUUAUACCGAAUUUUGUAUUUGUACUUUUUGUAUUCUUUUUCUUAAAAAGGGCCACCAGAAUUGUACAAGUUUCAGAGCCCCUCAAACCUGAAUCUGCUAGCUUCCAGAGACAGUGUCUUCAUAUACAAGCAUGUAUUUGCAUAUAUUCUAUAAAAAUACAUAAACAGUAGUAUAUCAUAUUCAUUGUUCCCUGCCUUGCUUUUUUACACUUCAUAUCUUGAAAUCAGUAUUUACAAGAGUUGCCUGCUUUUUAACCAUUGUGUUACAUUCUAUUGUAGGGAUAAUGGUACUUUUAUGUAAACAUUCAUCUAUUGAUGAAUAAUUGAGUUAUUUCCACUAUUCUACCAAUACACACGGUGCUGCAAUGAAUAACCUUGUAUGUAAUUCACAGUCAGAGUGACCAUACCUGCAGGUGUCUGGGGUAGUCCUUACUUGUAACAGUGCUCCCUUAGAUUCUCAAAAAUGUCCAGUGUAGAUGUGUAUUCUUUGAAGGAGAAUCACUAGAUUAAAGAAUAUGUAAAUAUUUAACUUCAAUAGAUAUUAUAAAAUUGUUGUCUGUAGAGGUUGCACCGGUGUACCCUCCCAUCAACGUGUGGACAGUACUAAUUUCGUUCCCUGGCCCCUGCCAAGUGAGAGUGUUAUCAAACUUCUAUAUCUAUAUGAUGGGCAAGAAAUAGUGUGUCAUUAUUUUAAUUUACUUUUAAAAGUUAGUGAAAUUAAGUGUAUUUCUUUCAGUCAAGUGGUUGAAAAUCUAUUUGAAUUUCCUUUCCUAUAAUCUAUGUCAUUGCUCAUUUUCUAUUGGUUGUCAAUAUUUUUCUUAUUGAUUUGAAAGAGAUUUUUAUAUGUUGGGGAGUGCUGCCUGUUAUUUAGAAAUAACUUCGGGAAAGUAAAGGCUGGAGGUAAAUAUACACAUACUUUAUUUUAAACCAUGCUUUUCAAACUGGUUUACACACAUCCCAGGAAAUACUUGUCAGUGUGGCAGGGAACAGAGUAGAUGGUGUUUAAUAGCAUCAGCUCUGGAGCCAUACUGCUGUGUUCAUGUUCCAGUUCUGCCUCUUGCUAACUAAGUAACUUUGGACAAAUCUUUUAAAUUUCAUUGACUCAAUUAACUAUCCAUAAAGUAGAUAAUAAUCUCUACUUCACAAAGUUGGAGUUAAAGAACCUACGCCAAGAAAAGAUAGUUAGCUUGGAAAACCAAAAUAAACAAUAAUUCUGGUCCUGUUAUUUGGCUUUUUAAAAAGA